rnacentral:rRNA from 1 species
CUGACGAGUGGCGGACGGGUGAGUAAUGCUUGGGAAUCUGGCUUAUGGAGGGGGAUAACGACGGGAAACUGUCGCUAAUACCGCGUAUUAUCGGAAGAUUAAAGUGUGGGACCUUGGGGCCACAUGCCAUAGGAUGAGCCCAAGUGGGAUUAGGUAGUUGGUGGGGUAAAGGCCUACCAAGCCUGCGAUCUCUAGCUGGUCUGAGAGGAUGACCAGCCACACUGGAACUGAGACACGGUCCAGACUCCUACGGGAGGCAGCAGUGGGGAAUAUUGCGCAAUGGGGGGAACCCUGACGCAGCCAUGCCGCGUGAAUGAAGAAGGCCUUAGGGUUGUAAAGUUCUUUCGGUAUUGAGGAAGGUUGAUGUGUUAAUAGCACAUCAAAUUGACGUUAAAUACAGAAGAAGCACCGGCUAACUCCGUGCCAGCAGCCGCGGUAAUACGGAGGGUGCGAGCGUUAAUCGGAAUAACUGGGCGUAAAGGGCACGCAGGCGGUUAUUUAAGUGAGGUGUGAAAGCCCCGGGCUUAACCUGGGAAUUGCAUUUCAGACUGGGUAACUAGAGUACUUUAGGGAGGGGUAGAAUUCCACGUGUAGCGGU